rnacentral:rRNA from 1 species
AACGUAGGACAACAAGCGUUAUCCGGAGUUACUGGGCGUAAAGGGCGUGUAGGCGGAUCGGUAAGUCUACUCUGAAAGCUCCUGGCUAAACUGGGAGAGGCGAGUGGAGACUGUCGGUCUAGAGUGAGGAAGAGGAAAGUGGAAUUCCGCGUGUAGUGGUGGAAUGCGUAGAGAUCGGGAGGAACACCAGUGGCGAAAGCGGCUCUCUGGUCCAAAACUGACGCUGAGGGGCGAAAGCGUGGGGAGCGAACGGG